UUCACCUUCACCAGAGAGGCAGGACAGCGACCAAGAAGUGCAGUUAAGAAUGCUUCUUCAUGGUGAGAUGGAUAGAUUUGAUGACACAACUGUGUCACUCUUAAAAAGGUUUUGGACGAGAUGGGCCGAAUUCUAGAGGCAGGCAACAAGAACUUCACUGACCAGAUCAAAGCCAGAUGGGAAAGCUUUUGCGAACAUGCGCUGUUCUUUGGAGUGUGGAACAAGUCGUUGAAGCCACCAAUGGGUCUGGAUACAUG